CAGGGGGUAGUUUAUAUAAAAUAUUGGUUUUGGGGAUCAAUGAAGAAAGAUUUUUUCCUCUGA
rnacentral:tRNA from 1 species